UAGUCUCAUUGAAAAGCCUCCUUGUGAAUAAGAAAACGGAGAGGAAGAUCUAGUCCCUCUUUUACAAAUUCUGAUUUAGUGUUUGAGCGUCUUGAUUGCAGAUAAUCUUAAAAGAAGAACCGUGAACUCUAUUUUAAAUCACAAAUCAGAUUUAAGGCAGAUUUGAUGGAGUUGUUCAUUCUUAGCUCCUCUUUAGAUCUAAGGGAUGGUUUCAAGUCAUUUAAAAUUGAUGAUGUCUACAGCCUUGCGAAUAAGUUUUAUUUUGAAGAUUUUUUAGAACAAGGAAGAUUACAUUUAAGAUAUCAAUUGGAACUUUUUGUACUUGAUGUUCUACGUUAUCCUAAGAUGCAAUCGCUAUCAACUAUCUCUAAAUUGUGACAAUAUUUAGCUAAAUCAAAGAAGGCAACUAUUUAUCCUCUUAUUGAUAGGUUGGUUAGACUUGUUUUGACUCUUCUAGCCUCAACAACAACUACUGACCAUGGUUUCUCGGCUAUGAGUCUUAUAAAGAAUAAGCUUCGUAAUAAGAUGGCAUAUGAUUUUCUUGCAAAUUCCUUGAUUAUAUAUAUUGAGAUAGAUAUAGUUGAUACUUUGAGUAUCAAUUUUAUAAUUGAUGAGUUUUACACCACGAAAGAGCGACAGGUGUAGCUCAAGACGCGAGAAGACAUCAAGUAUAAAUAUACAAGAUAAAUUGUAAUCUUAGAUGUCUAUUUGAAUUUUCUUCUAUUUUCUUUUAUUA